AGAGCGACAGCAGCCGGACAGUCUGGGCCGUGAGGCCCAGCGAACCUACAAGCCCCUUCCUCCCGCGGGGUAGGGCCGGAAGGAUCACUAGGCCGCCAGUCGGGCCCCAUCACAGUCUGGGGCUUUGGGAGGCCCCUCCGCGGCGGCACCCGGCGCUCUCCACCUCACCAAGCCCCGCAGCCCCCGCCGCCCGACACGGCCCCAUCUACUCAGCCGGGCCAUGCGGCCCGCGCGCGGGAGCCGGCACCUCACGUUCCGGGACUGCCCGCCCCACUCCCGUUAGCGAUACAGCCCAUUGGGCAGAAGGCCGAGCCAACUCUCCCCUGAUUGGAAAAUGACUCAAACAAGUGGAAUUCCAAGAAACCACUUAGGAAACUUCUACGGGGGCUGCUCUCAGAGACUUCCGGAUUUUUCCAGAUCCCAGCCAACAGCAUGCUCUGAGUAUGCCCGAAUUCCCAAACUGCUCUGCUCCAAGAAGCUUCUGUAAGAAGGUACAAAACUGAACUACUCACCCAGCCACUUUACUACACUACUACACAAAGACCCCUUCACUCCCUUCCACUCUCCCAUAUUAUCUCCAUUGAUGGUCUUGCAUUCCAUUUCACCAAGAUAUGGAAGCCAACAAGAGAACUGUCUACCAGCCUGCUUUCAUGUAUGCAGGCAGCAUUAUCUUUCAUCCUGGUACCUCAGAGGAGUGGCUGCAGUUGAGAGGGCAGCCUCCUCUCCUCCCUGCUUCAGGUGCCAUACAAGCUUGUCAACUCACUGAUGUCUGGGAUGUCUUCCCCCACAUCACCAGUUUUCUCCUUCUGCUACCCCAGUACAGAGUGUUACACAUUCUCCCAUGUUUGCCCAGGCCCUUGUCUGGGUGUCUCCAGCCAUCUCUGCUUCACCUCCCAUUCAUUCUGUUAUUUUUCAGUAAAACUCAAGAAACCCUAAAA